rnacentral:lncRNA from 1 species
UCAAACAUUAUUCCUUGCUUUUUCAAUAAUAAGGUAUCCCUUCUGGCUAUUCCAUAAAUGGAGGGGUUCUUCUUCAAAGAAAAGGCAAGGGCAGUUUGGGCACUCAAACAAAGCCAACCCCAUUGUUCUAAUCCAGACACGUCUAAUUUCCUACUUGGUUUGUACUAUAAAUGCUGGAUACGCAGCCUCUUAUUUCCAUAUUGUACUGCCAAAUCCAGAGAGAGUCGCCACACAGUCUGAAAGAAUGAUGCCAACAAACACCACCACCAAGGCAGCCGGUUUCCACCAAUGGAACUCCCCCAUUCCUUACCUCUUUUGUGGCCUGGGCCUCACGUUAGGACUUAUCGCUCUGGCAUUGGUGCUUCUUGCUUGCUCCUUUCGAAUGUCUCCCUCCAACUCAUCCACCCAAGAGGAAGAAAAACCAGGUAAGGAGGUGGAGAAGCAGACGGACAUGGAGCCGAGGUUCGUGGUGAUGAUGCCCGGAGAUGACAAACCCAAGUUCCUGGCGAAGCCUGCCGCCUCAGAUCGGCAAAGUGAGCAAGUUUGAUCAUCAGGGGUCAUCCCUGCCGUCACCCAGAGAUGGAGUUCUUUGUUUCCUCCUUGUAGCCUAGGCCUUUUUGUUCAUCCUAAUUUUCAGGGAUAUGUAAAUUUUUGAGCUCAAGUAGGAUACUAUAAAUUAUUUUUUGGAUCCAUCUAAUAAAUUAUUUGCUUCUCCAUUUCUUUCAUUGCCUCUACCUACAUAUGAGUCAAUGUUUUUCCUUCAGUUUCCUUCUCCUUUCCCACUACAGAAGAAUUUGAGCGAGUCCAGAUAAUUAAUCCAUGAAAAAUGGGGGAAAAAAAGAGAAGAAAAUCAUCUUACGUUUGUAUAGCUUUUAUUUACUUUAAAUUUACCAUUUCCUACAGCCAAGAAAACUGAAUAGGGUCAGUGUUUGGAAGCCAUUACCUGGAUGAAAGAUUUCCUUUACAGGGCACACAGACAAAGCUCCCUUCAACUUACAAUUAAGCUUAUAUUUUCAGACCAAAAUCACCCCCACCAUAUGUUUUUGGGCACAGAUGUUAGAGGUGGAAAGGGAAGCUAGCAGACCGUAAUGUAAAAAUAAUUCAUAAGCAUUUAUUUUCUGUUGGGAAAGGAUAAGAAAGGGCCGCUUUCGUCCGCAGCAAGGGACUCUACUGUGAACUACAAGCAACGUUUUUAAGGAGUGUGUCAUCAGAGGUUCCCUUUCUGGCUGAAUGCCCAAAUAAUUGUUGAUCAAUCCAAAAGGAGCAAAACCCACGAAUUUUGCUGCAUGAUAUAAGAAAAGUAUGGUGGCAUGGAGGAUGGAGAAAUGCCCAAAAUGUCAUAAACUAAGGUACAUUUAGCAUCAAAUUCUCCCCCAAGGAGGCCUUCUUAGAAAUGUGGUGAUCAUUAAGUGAAGUGGGCUUCCCAGAAACUAACCACCCAGGGUGACUACCCACCUUUCUAAAGAGUCCGGGCCUCAGAAUUACUCCCAUUAAUUAAUAUUCAAAAUGGGUCCCCUAGUGCUCUACUUUAUGACAGAAAUAGCCAACUGUGUUUGACAAAUGGGGCAGAGAGAAAUGAGUUCUGUUGGAAUUUGGGGACGGGAUUAGGUGGGUGGAUGUGGCGUCUCGAAUAUGAAUUAUGAGGGGCAGAGGGAGGUCUGAAUAUGAAGACAGGAGUAAGUUAAAAGCGGAUCCUUUUGGUAUGUCAAAUUGAUCUAAAGCUUGCAUUUACACAUCACCUUCAUCCAAUCGGGUGAUAUUAGGGACAAAAUUUUCCACAAUCUUUCUGUAUAUUUGCUUGUUUUUUUCAUUGAAGUGGAUUGACCAUGACCCAAGUCUCCCUCCUCACAACGUAGGGCUGCGCAGACUAAAUCUGUCAAUGGGCUAUGGCUGUGAUACCUAAUCCAAAUGUGGGUAUAAUGGGGCAAAGAAAGUGAUCACAGUAUACAUCUUACCUUAUGAAUUGACUCUGGAAUAUAUAUAUUCAUCUUAAGUGCUCUGUUAGUUAGAAUAAACUAAGGAUAACCCAGAAUGAUUUUCAAGGCCAAAAUAGGAAAUGGUUGAAUGGAGUUACCUUGUAAAAGACAAGUUCACAUUAGCUUUUAUGGUUGCCAGUCAUUUUUUCUGAUUUCAUUGCAAUUAAAAGACGAGUAAUAAUGAUGUCAUAGAUGUUUCUCUUUUCUUUUUUGGUGAGGAUUAAAUCUGAGUCCAUUAGUCACCGAAUUCUAUAAAGAUGGUAGCAAUCUUUUAUGGGUCGUAGACAUCUCAUAUUAAGUGCGUUAGUCCUCUCAAUUUGACUACCAAAAAGAGAAGAAAUAUGUGGGGUUGGGCUGGGUUGGGUUGGCGGAUGCGACGGGGCGGCUACGUAAAGAUGUUUCCCAUAAUUGUAUAGCUGAAUGACUUGAAAAAAAAAGGGUCAAAACUGUUGAAGCCGAAAACAAAAUAUUUGGGAUAUAUAGAUGUCUUGAUUUUUAUCUGUUGUUGGUCCUUGGAAAUAACGAACAAGUAUUUCAUCAGUACUCAUUUCAUAAGGAGAUGCGUGAGAUUUAAGGCAUUGUUUCAUACAGGGAUCGUAGGCAAAUAUCUGAUAAUAGUUUUUAUUCCUAAAGAGAGUGAACUCGUGUAUCAAUGAUUCAUUGGAUGAUUCUUGAUCAUAUACGGGUGGUUAGCUUGAUGAAGGUAACACAAGAAAGAAAUGUUGUCCAUAAUAUUUUCCAUUUCCUUCUUUCAUUUCCUUCUUUCAUUUCCUUUUCUCUGAGCACCUACAUCCAAUACUUCCCUUUGUUUGCAUGAAGUUCAAUGAUAGAUAGAGUAGUUGCACUUGUUAAUAAAAUUGUAAAAUAUAUCGAAACUCGAUAAAAAACAAUUAUUAAGAAAUUGUCCUCCCAACAAUCAAUCACUUACCUUUUUAUCAUCAUUGUUAGUUUAAUGUGAUGUUUGUUUUUUUAGCUUUUUACUUAAAGUAAUUUGUUUUUAGAAUUUAAGUCGUUUGUUUUUUUUAUUUUUUUUCAUGACUUAUUAUAAAUUUUUUACUAAAUAGAAAAAACCAAAAUAUGUAACUUUUUUUAAAUAGAAAAAAAAUAAUAUAUUGAUUUUUUUUUAUUUUUUAAUACUUAAUAGAAAUAAAAUAUUACAAAAACAAACACCAUAAUAUUUAACACUAUUAAGCAUUAAGGUUUUAUUUAAAAUUAAGUAAAAAAAAAACAAACAUCACCUAAAUAAGUUACUUUUUUAUAAUUAAUUUGACAAAAAAUUUAAGAUUUAAAAGCCUUUUUCUUAAGAAUAACCCCAAAACAAUAUUUUUCAUAUUUAACUUCUUAAUAAGAAUUUUCUUAUUUAAAACUAUUUUUAAAAAUAUUUUCAAAUAGAAACUUUAAUUUCUAUUAUUUAUACCAGCAUUAGCCAAUUGUUUUUGAGAAACAGGGUGGAAUGAAACAAAGUUGGAUAGAAUUUGAGGUGGGCUGAUGUGGAGUCUUGACUUAUGGAUUGAUGUGAAUACUAUAUACCUACAUGCUCCAAUUACUUUCAUUGUAAGUGCCUAUCUAUUGAUUACAAUAAGCUUAGGACUCCUCUCAUUCUUUCAAAUGUCUUGAUUCAAUCCUAACUGUCUAAUCUAUCAUCAUUGUGAGAAAGAAAAUAUAUAGCUUGUGAAAAUGUUACAACUUUUUUAUCCUUCUAAAUAAAAGUAAUUACAUUCAUACCAUCAAAAUGUGAAAAAUUCGUAAAAAUAUACAUUUGAUAACUUUUCCAAUGUGUCAAAGUGAGUGAUAGAAGGUGACUUUCUUAUCUUCUUUGGUUUCACCCCAUUUCAACUUACCAUUUUAAUAUAUGGCAUAAAGAGGAAUUUGAGACAUCUAACUUGAUUAUUUCAUUUUUAUAAUUUAUUUUUAUGAAAAAUAUUUUUUAAUUUGAUAAGUUAAAAAAAUAAGAAAAUGAAAAUAAAUUAAGUUACAUCAUUUUUAUUCAAUUUUAUAUAUAUGGGUAAGACAAAAUAAAAAACAAUACCCUAAUUUAAAAUAAAAUAUAAUUAAAAAUUAAUUAAUAUAGAAGAGUUGAAAUAAGUGGAAUAAGCUUAAAAUGACAUAUAAAAAUAAUAUAUAAUUUUUUCAUUUGUUUUUUUUUUCUUUUUUUUAAAAUUUUUCAUUUUUCUCAUAAUUUUUGAAAAUCAAAUAUCUUCCUAAGAUUACUCAUAAAAUUUUGUUUUCUUUCUAUUAACAAUUCAAGUAAUAAUGAUACUACAUAUUUACCUUGAUGAUUGAUGACUUCACUUUCUUUUUAGCCAUCUAUAAAACUCCCAUAUUUUUUUCAUUAAACACAAGAAUACCAAGGCAAAUAAUUAAAAAUUGAGUUAGGUAUUUGGUGAUUCAAAAAUAAGGUACCCUUAAAAGGAGGUAUCUGGUCAUAGUAUGUCGUUGAAAGAGGAAGAUGUUAGUUUGGCACCAUCCUAAGGAGGUACCCUUGCGACUCACUACCUUAAAGUCAAGCCAAUCCCAUGACCUAAUCGCUAGUAGUGUCAUCCUGACAAACCGUAUUGCAUUUUUCUGUUUAGCAAAAAAACCCUACAAACGACUCGUGAUGACACAUGAUCUUCUUGCUCCACAUACAUGACCACUAUAUAAAAGGAAUGCUCCCUUGCAUAAAAUACCCAAGAAAAAAGACUGUAAACAAAUAUGCAUCUCAAUUAUUCAAUAAUAACAAAGAAUUCUAACUUUUCAUUUUCCAACCUAACAUUUUAAGAUUAUAUUCUUCAUAUUCUUGUGAGAUUUUUCUUUAACAUCAGGAGGUGGAAAUUAGACAAUCAUGGUACACCCAUAGAUUCAGGGUUAGAUUUUGAGUUCAUGAUUAUCAGUUAUCACUGCAUUUUUCCAUUUGGUAAAAGGUGGUAAUCACAUCAUAAUCUUUUAUAUAUGCAACUUAUUCUAAAUGUGUUGGUCCUGUCAAUUUGACAAAUAAAGGAGAAAAAUAUUGUAGAUGUGACGGCUUGGCUACGUUCAUUACACUUGGAAACAACCAGAAAUAAUCUGGCCAAAGCCCACUAGAGAAUGUGGGGAGGAUUUGAUUUGAUCAUUUGAUGGGUACAUUUUGUCUGGCAUGUAUCAAAUAUAGUCAAAAUGAGGAAGCGUCUUCACUUCAUCUUCUUCAGUGGGGGAAAUGACAUUUUCACUGCUUUCUUUGGUGCCAGACAGAACUUGUUAAAAUUUUGUUGUACAAAAUCUUUCCAAUACUUGAAAAUCUCCUAGUCUGGGUAGUCAAUACUCAAUAUAAUCAAUUAAUCAUCUCCGUCGUCGAUUUCCCCAUUUACUAUACAUUUUGAAUACCUAAACUAGGGUUAUAAUUUGGGUGGAUUGAUCAGGUUGAUGGUUAAUCCGAGUUUAACCUGAAUUAAAAAACAACUAACCUGAUUCCAACCCAACCUAACCUCUAAUUCAAGGUACUCAACCCAACUUUAUUUCUAUAAGCUCGGAUUAAAUUUGAGUUGAUCGAGUUGAUCGGACAGUAUAAUUCAAAAUCCAUUUAUAAUUCUUUUAUUUUUUUUCUAUAUAUUUUUUAUGAAAAAUUAAAUAGUAAAUAAGAUAAAAUUUCAUGAUAACAAUAAAAAAGUAAAAAUAAAUUUAUAUAUCUUUCUAAAAUAAUUCAAACUAUAUGAUAUAAUAUAAUUUGUUAUAAAAUGUGAGAAUUUGUAGCAUUGUGAAAAUUUGUGGAUGAUCAUACGUAAUGAUGUUUAUUUCUUUAUAACUCCCCAUAAAAAGGAAAGACCCCUAAUGAAAAUCAAUUCAAUUUUCUCACCAUGCAUUUUAUUAUCUCUUUCUUAGUUUCUUCUUCUCUCACUUUGUUUUAUAACACGUUAUCAAAAGAAAUAGUCUCUACAAAAGAACCCGAAAGAUUUUUAUUUUUCAGAGAAAUAGAAAGACGUUUUUCUCUUCAGAGAAAUCAAAAGACUCUUCUAUUUUCUUUCUCACAAAAAGAUAUGUCAUAAACUUAUAUCAUAAUUUUCUAUUUUAUUUAUAUAUGUGAUAAAAUUACCCUUUGAUUCUCUAUUUUCACUUAUUUUAUUUGAAUACAUAAACAUGUAUAAAUAUUACUUAGAGAAUAUAAUUUCUUUCUAGUAAAAAAUCAUGGAAAAAAAAUUCAUAACUAGAAGUUAUAAAAACAAAUAUGUACAAUUCCUAUAACCAGAAGUUAUGAGGUAAAUUAUAAAUAAUGAGAUAAAUUCAUAACCAGAAGUUAUGAAAAAUAUGUGCAAUCCCUAUAACCAGAAGUUAUGGGGAAAAUUACAAAAUUAUAAAUAUAUGGCUAGAAGUUAUGUAUAUGAUCUAAUAUUUAUUUUUAAUUAUGCUUAUAACUGGAAGUUAUACCAAAUAAUAUUAUAUAGUCAGAAGCUAUAAAAAAUAAAUGUUCAUAGUCUGAAACUAUGUACAAAUCUACAUAAUGAAAGUUCAUAGCCCGAAGUUAUACACAAAUUUACAUAAAAAUAAUUCAUAACCGGAAGCUAUGUAUUAAUUUGCACAUUUUUGUUAUGAUAAAAUAAUCAUAGUCCGAAGCUAUGAAAAAGAAAUCUAUAUAUAUAUAUAUAUAUAUAUAUAUAUAUAUAUAUAUAUAUAUAUAUAUAUUAAAUUUUAAUUCCUAUUUCAUAUUUAUACAUUUUUACCAUAUGUAUAAUUGAUAAAUCUUAGGUUACUAUAUUUUUAGAUAUUAUUUACUUGAAAUAUUGUUAAAACAUUUUAUUAAUUUAUUCAUAGUUUAUUCCAAUAAUUGAAAUAUUUUUCUAAUUAAUAUUAUUCUAUAUAUAUAGUUUUUAGAUAAUGUCAAACCUUGCAAAACUUGAAUUUGUUGCCCUCAAUAUUUCGGGCAAGAACUACUUAUCUUGGGUUUUGGAUGUUGAAAUUCAUCUAGAUGCGAUGAAUCUUGGAAAUACCAUUAAAAAAGCAAAUGACGCAUCCCUGCAAGAUCACACCAGAGCUUUAAUAUUCCUUUGCCAUCAUAUUGAUGAAGGAUUAAAAGGUGAGUACCUAACAGUCAAAGAUCCUUUCAUCAUUUAGAAUAUAAUCUAAAGGAAUGAUAUGACCACCAAAAGAUUGUAAUCCUUCCAAAGGCAAGCUAUGAUUGGAUGCACUUGAGAUUAGAAGAUUUCAAGUUUGUUAGUAACUACAACUCAACCUUAUUCAAAAUUAGCUCAUAAUUAAAAUUAUGUGGAGAAAAAGUCACUGAAGAAGAUAUGCUUGAAAAAACAUUUAUGACUUUUCAAGUCUCGAAUGUGUUAUUGCAAUAACAAUAUCGAGAACAUCAUUUCACUAAAUAUUCAUAAUUGAUCUCAUGUCUUCUUGUGGUUGAACAAAAUAAUGAGUUUUUAUUGAAAAACCAUCAAUCUCGUCCUAUUGGGUCUAUCUCAUUGCCUAAAGCCAAUGUCACAUCUGUUCAAACUCUUGGACAUGGACAAGGACAAGGACGUGGAUAUGGACGAGGUCGAGGAAGAGGAUAUGGUUGUGAUCGAGGUCGUGGCAAACCUCAUUGUUCUCAUCGUAGUGGUUCUCAAAGUAAAAAGAACAACUCAAACCACCAAAAGUGGAAUAAUUCAAAGGCACAACCUGAAAAGGGGAUAAAACCACAAAGUAAACAUGCUCGUGAGAAUAAGUGUCAUAGAUAUGGUAUGAAAGGACACUGAUCACGUACUUAUUGUACUUCAAAGCAUUUGGAUGACCUUUAUCAAGUCUUAAUAAAAGCAAAAGGAAAGGAAGUUGAAUGAACUUCAUUGAUAGUGAUGGCCCAGUGGAUCUUACCCAUUUAGAUAUUUCAGAUUUCUUUGAGAAACCUAAUAGGAAAAUUGACCAUCUAAUUGGUGAUGAAAAUGUUUGUUAUCAUUAAAUGUUAUGUUUUUAUUUAGUUAUUUGCAAAUAGGUUUAUUUUGUUAUCAUUUGAACACAUUAUUUAUUAUUCAUCUUGUAUAGUUUAUUUCACAUUUUAUUCUUUCUUAUUUAAAUUCUUUUCUUUACUUAUACUUAAAGAUACAUGGAUCUGUCUCAUACCUUGAUACAUCAUAUGACAUCCAAUGUAGAUGCAUGCCUUGCAUAUUGUUCCACAACACACACAAUCCCUCGUGAUAAAAACUAUUUUUCCAACUUAUCAUUGGUUAAGUCUAAUGUUAAUACAAUAUUAGGUCUUAUAGACUUGAUUCAAGGCUCUGGAAGAACAACUAUUAUUUUACCUAGUGGAACUAAAAUUCACAUUAAUGAUGCUCUUUAUUAUGUUAAAUUCAAGCGAAAUCUUCUUAGUUUCAAGGAUAUUCGCUGAAAUGGAUAUCACAUUGUAACUAUGAAUGAUGGUAGUAAUGAAUACAUUUUCAUUACUUUAGUUAUUUUUGGGAAAAAACACACCUUGGAAAAGCUUAUUUCUUAUUCUUAUGGGUUAUAUCGAACAAUCACUAGACUCGUUGAGUCAUAUGCUAUCAUGAAUCAGAAGUUCUGUGACUUAAAAACUUUUAUGAUUUGGCAUGAACGUCUUGGUCAUCCAGGAUUAUCCAUGAUGUGUCGUAUCAUUAAUAACUCUUUUGGGUAUUCCUUGAAGAACCAGAAGAUUCUGAUGCCCAAUGAUUACAAUUGUGUUGUUUGCUCACAAGGUAAAUUAAUUAUUAGAUCAUCAUUUACCAAGGUUGAAUAUGAAUCACCAGCCUUUCUAGAAUGUAAUCAAGGUGAUAUUGUGGACCUACUCAUCCACCUAGUGGACCUUUUCGUUAUUUUAUGGUUUUAAUUAGUGCAUUAACUCAUUAGUCUCAUGUUUGUCUUCUUUUAGCUAGAAAUGUUGCCUUCGCUAGGUCACUUGCUCAAAUGAUUCAACUUAAGGCACAAUUCCCUAAUCAUCCUAUUAAGACAAUUUGUCUUGAUAAUGCUGGUGAAUUCUCAUCUCAGAAAUUUCUUGAUUAUUGUAUGUCGGUUGGUAUUGAUAUUGAAUAUCCUAUUGCUCAUACUCACACUUAGAAUGGAUUAGCUGAAUCUCUUAUUAAACGUUUGUAAUUGAUUGCAAGACCAAUACUCUUGAGAACAAAAUUGUCUUUGUCUGUUUUGGGGCAUGCUAUUCUUCAUGCUACCACUUUAAUUCAAAUUCGUCCUACAACUAAUCAUGAAUGCUCACCUUUACAACUUGCUUUAGGCUCUCAACCAAAUGUUUCACAUUUACGUAUUUUUGGUUGUGUUGUUUAUGUUCCCAUAACUCCACCUCAAUGUUCCAAGUUAGGUCCUCAACAUCGACUUGGUAUAUAUGUUGGUUUUAAUUCUCCCUCCAUUAUUCGUUAUCUUAAACCAUUCACAAGUGAUGUUUUUACUGCUCGCUUUGCAAAUUGUUAUUUUGGUGAAAAUGUUUUCCCAUUAUUAGGGGGAGACAAGUCAAUUCCAUAAGAAUGGAAGAAACAUUACAUGGUAUGUAUCCUUUUGUCUCAUCUUGAUCCCUGUACAAGGUAGUGUGAACUAGAAGUUUAGAGGGUUAUUCAUUUGCAAGGGCUUGUAAAUCUAUUACCUAAUGCUUUCACAUAUAUAAAUAAAGUAAUAAAGUCACACGUAUUGGUUGUGAAUACCCUAUCACAUAUUGAUGUCCUUAAAGGACAACUGGAGAAUGUCAUAGCAAGUGAAUCUAAGACAUGCCUGAAGUGUGGUAGACCUAUUGACUCAAACGAUUCAGUUCCUAGAAAAAAAAAACAACACAUGAAAAACUUGGUACUCUUGAAGAGUUCAUAAAUAUGAAAGUGUCAAAUAAUGAAACCCAACUUGAUAAAUAGGUAGCCCUUAAAGAGGCACAAAUUGAUCAAAUACUAGUAUCUAGAACUAAAUAGAUCUCAAUGAGUCACACGGUAGAAACAAGGAACCGUAGUGACAUUAUCAUAAACAAUAUAUUUGCAUUCCAAGUGGCUAUGGACAUCAUGAGAAAUGAUGAAGAACUAUGGAUGGAUGUCAAAAAAGGAAUGAUUGGCCAAAAUGGAAAGAAACAAUCCAAAUAGAGCUAAACUCAUUAGCAAAACAAGAGGUAUUUGGACUUGUAGUUCAAACACCUGGAAACAUAAAACCUGUUGGAUAUAAAUGGGUCUUUGGGAAAAAAACAAAAUGAGAAUGAUGAAAUCAUAAGAUAUAAAACAAAAUUUGUUGCUCUCAAAGAUCUGGUAUAGACUAUGAGGAAGCUUAUUCUACUAUAAUGGAUGUAAUCACAUUUCGAUACUUGAUAAGUUUAACAGUCUCUGAAGGACAAGAUAUGCGUCUCAUGGAUGUUGUUACAACCUAUUUAUAUGGGUCUAUAGAUACUAACCUAUAUAUAAAAAUCCCUGAAGGAUUCAAAUUGCCUGAAGUAACUAAUCCAAAACCUCGAAACAUGUACUCAAUUAAACUACAAAGAUCUCUAUACUGAUUAAAGCAAUUUAGACGCAUGUGGUAUAAUUGUUUGAGUGAGUAUUUGUUAAAAGAAGGAUAUGUGAAUAAUUAAAUUUUCCCAUGUGUUUUUAUCAAGAAAUAAAAAAUUGGGCUUACAAUAAUUGUAGUAUAUGUGGAUGAUUUGAACCUUAUAGAGACUCUUGAUGAGCUCACAAAAACAGUCAAUUAUUUAAAGAAGGAAUUUGAAAUGAAAGAUUUGAGAAAAACAAGAUACUGUCUUGGCCUACAAAUUGAGCAUUGUUCAAAUGACAUAUUAGUCCAUCAAUCGACAUAUAUAGAUAUAGUAUUAAAACGAUUUUUUUGUGGACAAAUCACAUCCAGUCAAUUCCCCCAUGGUUGUUUGUUCACUUGAAGUGAACAAAGACCCAUUUUGUCCUAGAGAAGAAAAAUAAAGAAUUGUUUGGUUCAAAAGUACCAUAUCUCAGUGCAAUUGAUGCACUAAUGUAUCUUGCAAAUUGCACUAGACCAGACAUAUAGUUCUAUCCCAACUAAAAGGCAUUGGAAUGAGAUUAAACAUAUAUUGCGAUACCUUCGAGGAACAAGUGACAUGGGCUUUUAUUAUUCAAAAGAAUCAAAAUCACAAUUGAUUGGAUUUGCGAAUGCAGGAUAUCUUUUAGAUCCUCAUAAAGUUCGAUCUCAAACGGGAUAUAUCUUUACUUAUGGUGGAACGACAAUAUCUUGGAGAUCAGUCAAGUAGACAAUGGUAACCACAUUUCAAAUCAUUAAGAAAUUCUUACAAUUUAUGAAGCAAGUUGUGAAUGUGUAUGAAUAAGGUCAAUGAUUCAACAUAUUCAAGAAACAUAUGAACUACCUUUCAUCAGAGGCAAUGCAACCAAGUUACAUGAAGAUAAUGCUGCUUGUAUUGUACAAAUUAAAGGAGGAUUCAUAAAAGGUGAUAAAACUAAGCAUAUUUCCCCUAAAUUCUUCUAUACUAACGAGCUCCAAGAGAAAUGUGAGAUUAAUGUUCAACAGAUUCAGUCAUAAAAUAAUCUAGCAGAUUUAUUCACAAAAGCAUUACCUUUGACCUCAUCGAAAAAGUUAAGGAAUGACAUUGGAAUGCGAAGAUUGAUAAUCAUGUCUAUAUGAGGGGGAAAAAAAAAAAUACUAAUAUGGAUAUGCUGCACUCUUUUUUCUUUGUCCAAGUUUUGUCUUACUGAGUUUUAUUGGCAAGGUUUUUAACGAGGUAGUUACCAUAUUCUUAUGAUCAUCCAAGAGGGAGUGUUAUAAACUGUGAGAAUUUGUAGCAUUGUGGAAACUUGUGGAUGAUCAUCCGUAAUGAUGUUUAUCUCUUUGUGAUUCUUUAUAAAAGGGAGAGACCCCUAAUGAAAAUCAAUUCAAUUUUCUCUUCGUGCAUUUUAUUAUUUCUUUAUUGCUUUCUUCUUCUCUCACUUUGUUUUACAACAUAAUUUGAUUUUUUUCUUAAAAAUUUAAAAAGAAAAUAAAUAUCAUUAUGUAAGAUAAUAUGCAUUAUAAAUAUUAUAAUAGUAUUAAAUUAGGUUCAGGUUAGACUUGAGUUGCCUAAACCUUGACCCAAGCCCAACUCAAAUUGAGUUUGGGUUGAAAAAAUCUAACAUAAGCUUAACUUGAGUACUGAAAAUAAUUAUCCAAGCUUGUCCAAAUGUUGGGUUCGAUUCGAGUUAGGUCAAGCCAACCCAUCAAAGUUGCACCUCUAUCUUAAAUGCUCAGGUUGAUUCUAUAGUCUGUCUAAUUUAUUGAUCUAAAAAAGAAAUGAGAGGACAAAAAACACUUGAGAAAGGAAAAAAAUACAUAUAUUUGAUUUAGGGAAAAUAUUUAAGAAAGAAAAAAUUUUUUAAAAAAAUAAAAAACAAAUAUUUAAUUUUUUAUAGAGGAAUUAAAAUAAGUAGGUUUGAAAUAAUAUAUAAAAAUAAUUUAUUAAUUUUAAGUUUAUUUUUAUUUUUUUUGUUUGUAUUUCCUUUUUCUUGUAUUUUCUUUCCAAUUUUGGGAAAUAGAUAUAACCUAAAAAUGAUUUUCCGAUAUUUAAUUUAUCAUGAAAAAUAUGAAAAAAAUUAAACAUAAUUAAAAUUAGUUAUAAAUUUAUAAAAUUUCAAGUUAUUUAAUCUUUAUCUAGAAGAAAAAAAUAAAUAAAAUAGAAUUAAAAAAACUUGUAAAAAUAAUUUAUUAAUAUUUUUUUACUCUCUUUAUAUAUAUAUAUAUAUAUAACAUAGUGUUAUGAAAGAACGAGAAUAGGCAACAAGAAAAAACAAACUUAGGAACACUUAGAUUUAUCUGAUAAACCCUAAAUGGGAAAAACCACAAGUAGAGGAAAAGAAAAUCCUUUAUGUCAAAAAUUGUUACAAAAAGGAAAGAGUUAUGAGUGACUAUUGCAUAACCUAAAAAAUACAUCACACACACUUUCCAAAAACUCUCAUAAAAUUUCUUUAUUACAUAUGUCACAUCGCGAGCUUUUUAGGUUGAACCCAUUAAAAUUUGGGUUACCAAACUCUAAUACAUUGGAAUAAAAUAAAAUAAAAUAAAUUAAAGAAAAAAAAGAAGAAAAAUGAAAAUAGAGGUGAUAAGAAUUAAUUUUACAUUCAGUGAGCGGAAUUUUGAGCCAGAAGACCAAAUACAAUCUUACCUUAAGGAUGAAGUUAUGGAUAGAGUUUCCAAGGCUCUUUGCUUUUUUUUUUUCUCUAGUGCUCCACUAGAUAUAAUAAACAAAGGAUUCCCAUAUUAAACUUGAAUUCUAAAUGGUAGCCCAAAUUCCCUAAGGAACCUACCCUUAUGGUUGCCAUGAUGAUGAAAUGCCCCUGCUUUGAUAUGAAACUAAGUUAGAUUAAUAUGAAUCGGUAUUAAUAUAUGAAGGAGAAGUGCUGUUUGGGAUACCCCUUAAAAGACAAUUUCACAUUUGCUUUUAAAUGUCCAAUCAUUCUCUCUUGUUCCAAGCUUGGAAGCUUCAUUCAUUAAACACACAUGCAUGUGCAUUAACAAUACAAACCAACAAUGAUGCCUAUAUGUGCUUCUCUACGAGCCAAUUCUUUUGUUUUCUUUUUUGCUUCCCCCAUAGAUCAGUUUGAGCACAUUUAAAUGGUGUUAACUAAUAUGAUUUAGAAAGUUUUUUAUUAUUAAGACAAAGCUAUAUAUGAGAAGGACAAGCUUGCUUCAUUGUAGCCCAAACAAAAAAUUCUCGUUUCCAAAAAUUAAUAUAUAUAGAAGGAUUUACACCUUCAAAAACAUAUCUUUCAAAAUUUGUUUAAGGAUUAAGCAAGUUUGUUCAUGUCAUUUGAAGUUGUUGAAUACUUAUGAUAAAUUGAUAAAACGCUAAUUUAUUUAAUUUAGAAAAAUUGCUACUAUGUAAUUAAGUAAUUGGACUUAUCAUUUCAAACUAGACUUUUUUUUUUUCAAUAAUUUUAAAGCGGAUUAAGAAUCAAUAUAAAUUAAAAUUGUGAAAUUCAUACUUUUCAUGACUAUAGCGUGAGAAAAGUGAGAAUUUUUCAAAUUGGUCUUACAUGAAUAUUGAGACACAUGAGUGAAGAACUGACAUAAGACUAAAGCCUAGAGCCAUUAAUCAUGGUUUCAACCUUUCAGGACUAAGCAGUGUACUGAGUCAACUCAACAAAGCAACCUGAACCCUUCUAUCGAAAUAAUAAUCACAGUUUCUGUAUUUUGUAAUUAAAGCAGUUCUUAAACGAGGCAUAAGCUCCUCGUUCCGGGUUAGUGUAGUCAACUGGGGAAGAAAAUAAGGGAUUGGGUUGGUGGAGACAUGAUUGACUUGAAAAAGAAUGCCACUAGAGAAUGUUUGGGAACAUCAAUUGGGAAGAUAUGAUCAUCAUAUGGGAUGACAGCAUUUCAACGGGGUGGAUUAAUGUUUGACCAUUGUUUCAAUUGAAUUUAGCUGCAUGGGUGUGAAUCAAAUUUGGCCACAUGAUUUAAUGGACCAACAUUCAAGAUGCUAAUUACUGCUGAGAUCAACCAUGGAGUGGAUAUUGCCUUGCUGCACUCACGCAAGAUGCCAAAAAGAUUGAGCUAUCAAUGGUGGUUGGAACACCCACCAACUACACCAUAUAAUAAUGUUAAGUUCAUGUUUUCUUUGAAAGGGCCAAAUCAAAUUCAUUUUGAAGUUUCAUCACAGCUUUUGUACUUAUUCAAUAAAUUUUAUUAAUUAAAGAAUUUAUAAUUUAAAAUAGUUUAAUAAAUAUCAGGAAAAUUUUUUUUUGUUUAAUAAAAUGUUAGUAAUUUAAUUAAUGAACUUUUUAAUUCGUCAUUCCUCUUAUGUAUUCUCAAGGAGCCUAUCUGGGCAAGGCAAUAAACCCACAUCAUAAUUUAAUUUUAGAAUCAAUGGGCGGAAUGGAAAAUAGGGGAUCGGUCGUCCAGUGGGUCAUUACCAUAUAGGCCAUCAUUCCAUGAGGACCUUCGACAAUAAACACACACCAUAAUGAUCAUUUCUUUUCUUUUUUUUCUCCUCUGUGUUGACUGUUGACAUGGUUGGUGGGUCAUGACUUCAUUUUAUAGACCAUUCCACUGCACACAAUCGUCAAAUCCAAUAUUGCGACUGUGUUGGUCCUUAGAUCAGGCCAUUACUAGUAUUUCCGGUGGUGAUCCACACCUCAAGGGAUUUCAUGAUGCAUUGUGUUAACAUAUAUACAGGCCAUGUUUCUAGCGCAAAGGUUGAACAUGCAUGGGGAGACACCCCAUACCAUAAAUGAGAGUAGUGCUAGGGCUUUGAUUAGUCAAAAAGAAGAAAGAAAAUUCCUUGUGAAUGGUUCUAGAAGUGUAAUGCACAAGAGGGAAUCUUCCAUAGCGAGAAAGGCUUUAAGGUAAUUUACAGGUCCAAGCGCACUUGGUAGUAUAUUCAAAUCCUCCUUUAUAAAUAUAUGACAUACCACCAAGCUCAUUACAGUACACCGGCAAAACUCAGAAGAGGGAAAGAGAGAUGAUGGCAGCAGAUACCACCUCCUCCAAUGGAUUUUGGCAGUUGAACUCUCCAUUGCCAUACCUGUUUGUUGGGUUGGCUCUACUGCUGGGCGUUAUAGCGGUUGCACUCAUCAUACUAUCCUGCUCACACAAACAGCCUCCUGCAGACUUGGCAACUGAUGAUGACAAAGAUAAGCCACCAAAACCGAUGCACACAGACCCAGACACCGUGCUCGUAGUCAUGGCAGGAGACGACAGUCCCAAGUACCUGGCAAAGCCCAUGGCGUCGACUACCCAUACUGAGCAAGUCUGAGCUGGGGAUCGUCCGUCACGGUAGACAUGAAGUUCUUUAUUUUCUCCUUACAGUAUGGGCUUUUGUGUUUGUCAGAAUUCUCGGGAAUAUGUAAAAUUUUUAGGUUAGAGGGGAUGUUAAUCAUCUUGUAAAUUAGCUAUGUAUCGAUCCAUCUAAUAUAUCGUUCAUUAUUUCUCCUUCUCUUUUAUUAUUUUCUGGUAUGAAUCAGUAGUUCUUUUUCCCCUCAGUGAAGAACAAUAUGAAUUAGCACUCCAAUUCAUUUUGUAUGACUUCAAAAUCUGUCAUCCUAAAGCUAAGAAAACUCAGAUCAUCAUGUGUUUAGAGGCCCAGAUAGAUUACAUCAACAUAGGACUAUAAUUCUAAAUUACAAGCAACCUCUUCUGCAGUUUGUCAUCAACAAAUGACUCUGUAUGAGCAGUGGCAUUGGCAAUACAAAUUUUGCAGAUCCCAUGUUUUUUUUUUUUUUUUUUUAUCAUCCAAAGGGAGCUACUGAUAAUUCAACUUAGUAACUUAGGCUACAUUCGGAAAUUAUAACAUUCCAAAAUCUUAGAUACAAAAUGUUAUUGAAAUGUUCUAAAGGACUUUACCAGUAUUAAGAUUCGGGGGUUGUGAGUUAAGAAAAAAGGAAUGAACUUUCAACAUGGGUCUUGGUCUUAAGAAAUGUUAGUUUAAUACCGCACUGGCUGGGAAUGGAUAAGGUUGGAGGACGUGGCAUCUCGAAUAUAAUUUUUGGAGCAGGAAACUUUAGGAAACUGUAGUUUGAAAAUGGAGAGAAGAGUAAGUAAAAAGAGGCAUCCCAGAUAGUCUAAAGCUUGCAUUUCAAGUGGGUGACAUUAGUUUGUUUUUGUUGGGCAAUUUCCUUAUUGAAGUUGAUUGAAAAUGACUGGCGACUCUCUUUCUGUAUGUCUGGCAGCGCCCACUAAAUCAUCCAAUGACUAAUAAUAGAGAAGACUAGGUGAUUAGAAAUUAGAAUAAGAACCUUAGCUUGGCGAUGAAGUAAUGGAUAUUGGAAGUAUGUAUAUGUUUCUUUCUCUUUUGCUUGUUGAUCUGGGGUUUGUUCCAAUUCCUUUCAUCGUAGGUGCUCCAUUAGGAUAACCAAAGGAUCCAUUAACUUGUCCUUGAAGAAUAAACUUGCGUUGACUUUAAAUUGAUUAAAUCAUGCAACAUAGUUUCUAAGCAGUUCAAAAGGUAGCUUCGUAGUAAUUUAAUAAUUAAGUUGUCUUUCAUUGAUUAAGAGAAAUUACAAAUUUUAAUCCUAUGUUUGAUUUUUGGAAAAUACUCAAAAGAGGGGUGGGGAAUUUUUAUUUUUAUUUUUAAAUUAAUUUUCUUACAUAGACAUGUCUUGGAAAAAAAAUGAAGAAAAAACAUCGGGAAAAGAAAAGGAAAAAUAUUAAAAGUUUUUUCUUAGAUAAAAUUGAGUAAAGUUUGAAGAAAGUGUAUUCUUUAACCAUAUAAUUUUUUUCCCUCAUCUUUUUUGUGGAUGUCUGAAAUGAAGAAAAAAGUUUCAUGAAUUUUUCUUAUCUUCUUUUUUUUUUUUUAUAAUUUUUCUCUUUAUUUUUUUUUUUUCAGACUUUUCAAGCAUCAAAUAUAACAUGCAUAAAGAAAAAAGAUAAUUAUUUCAUAGAGAGGAGAAUGAAAUGAGUCAAAUAUUUUUUCCUCUAUGGCACUUGAAGGGGCCAAAAGUUUGAUUUCACUUCAGCCAAAAACAAGUACUUGUAAACUGAAUCACCUUCAAGUAGUUUGGGAAAAAUCUGCACUUGAAAAAGUUUGCAUAUAUAAAGCACAAAAAAGACUAUUGUAAGUACAACAAGAGUGAAAAAUUAUGAUCCCAAGGCAUAUAAAACUUCCAACCUUACAAAAAGGAAAGAGACCUGAAAAAGUAAGAGAUUUCAUAAGAAACCAUGAAGAAAACUUCAUAAACACCUCCUUCCAACCAAAAAGGAGUAAAUCCUCCUCCAUGGAAGUCUCCCCAUGCGAACAUAAUCUAAACCCUUUUUUGUAUCUUUCACUGCAUAUAUUUUAAUAAAGAAGUAUAUUCAGAGAUGAACCUUAUCUUUCCCUUGGUCAUAGCUUACACUUAAAACUAUUUGAAGAAAAAUUUAAUAUCUUCAGCACCCAUAUGGUAUAAUAUAUAUCAAAUUUUAAAUCUCAACUCUUAAUGUGUGUAACUAAAUUUAGAUUAUGUAUUGAAUAAAAAUAUAAAGAAAUAUAAAUUAGAUAUAACUAAAUGAGAUGAAACUACCAAUAAAUAAGACCAAGGUUCAAACAUCCAACAAUGACUCUUCUCUUAUUUGAAUGGUUUUGAUGUCAUUCAAUUAGCAUUUGAGUACAUUAUUUGAAAUUUCUGUGUUUUCAUUCAUGUCUUAUGUUUAUCGUUUAAAGUUAUAACACUAGAGCAUUAGAUUUUCCAUGGUGACUUGACUUUACUUGGUCAUUUUUUAACUUCUCUGUUCCUUUCUUUCCACCUACCUAUGUUUGUGUGUCUAUUAAUAUCAAAUUAAUUAUUUUGUCUUUUAGCAAUAAUGAGAUUGAACUCUUUUAAAUUGUCAAUAAAAUAAAAUAAAAUAAAAUUAAUUUUCCUAUGAUAGAAAAAAGGUACCAUAGAAAUGAUUAGGUAAAGAUGGUUGAAAAAUCAAACACAUCACAUUGACAAUUUCCCUUCUUAAUUUUCUUCUCCUUUUUGACGUUAUCAGUGGAUCAUAUGAGUUUAAAUUUUCCUGUACUACCAAACCCAAUUAAGUAUAAUAACUAAUUGCAAGAGGCUAUUAUGGUUUUAUGGUUCUAAGAACAGGCCAUUACUAGUACUGUUAAUCUUUUAAUGAUCAUCCGGAGGGCAUGACAUUAUAUCCUAAUUGGGUCUAGCCAUUAAUUCACAAGCAAAGCAUAGAGCCAUCUUGUUCAUUUCUUGGCUGCAAUAAAUAAUUUAACAUUGGUGAGAUAUGGAGUAAGAAAAGUGAUGAGAAUAUGAAUCUUUCCUUAUGGAUGAAGUUAUAGUUAGACUACUAACAGCAUACGUGUGUUUCUUUCUUUGAAGCUUCUGGGGUUAUGCACCAAUUCUUUUCAUAUUAGAGUACAAAAAGCAUCCACUAUUUGGUUGGAGAAUAACCCUUAUAUUAUUACAUGAUACUAAAUGAUAGUACUCCACUCUUUCUCAGCAACUUACCCUUGUAGAUUGGUAUGAAUAAUGUGAAACUCAUUAUCGAUCCAUGUCUUUAUUUUACUCACAUGUAUCCCUACAACCUUAAUAAAUUAUGAAAACAAAAGGUCCUAAAAAAGCAGAUUGAUGAGUAAUUUUUCUCAAAGAAAAUAUUAUAUAAGUAGGAAAGGGGGAGUGAUUGGCUCCCAAGUGCCUGGUCAAGAAGGGAGAUUGUUGGUGCUGGGGUCCCCUUAAAAGACCAGUUCACACUAACUUUGUAGAGGGCUAAUCAGUGUUUCUGUUCUUGGAGCACUUGGUAACAUCCUCAUAUAAAUUACUCGAAUUAGUUUGGUUUCAAUAUGCCUUGAUCAUUUUCACAAUGAGGAAAGUAUAAUAAUGAUGCUGCAGGCUUUGUAUGGUCAUUUUUUAAAUAUUCUCUCAUUCCUUCCUUGAAGUAACCUGCUUAAAGGGAUAUUAAAUUGUUUGUAUGACAACUUAGAAUUGUUUCCUUCCCACUCUUGCAAAUUCAAUUAUUAUAUACAUAUUUUGGAAAAAACUUAUAAUGUUAGAAAAUUUUCAUAAUCACACAUCUCAGCUGAUUCAUCAAAUAGAGGAAUUGUUCACAUGUAAAGAUUUUGAAUGUCUAAUGCAAUAAAAAAAAAAAGGGCAAAACCAAACACCUUCUAUUCUAUUGUAAUUGAGUAUAGAAGACUCAUGAGUUAAGGCUUCACUUAAAUUUUCAAGGCUGAUAUCUCACAUCAAAUAAGAAAAAAGGUAUGCGACUCUUCAUAUAUAUAUAUAUAUAUAUAAAGGGCAUAUUGGAUUCAAAAUGGAUAAUAUCUGUAUAGUUGAGAGUGAAUUAUUACAAAUUGUAUCGGAUCUAAUUAUUGACUACGAUCUUAUAGAACACAAUGUGACAUUUUGUCUACAUGAGAGGUAAUUGUGAUAUUCCACACAUGAGAUGGAGUGAAAAAAGUAUUUAUGACAUUAUAUAUAUGUAUAAGUUUGUCUUAACCAUGUAGAUGUAUUUUAAAAUUGUAAAAGCUCAAGGUUGAGAGCUUCGUAUCAGGUUGUAAUAAUUUACCAUAUUUGCAUUUUGUAAAGAUGAUAAUGUUAAUCUUCCACUGGGUCAUACCUAUAAACAAGGAAGAAGAUAUAAAAAAAUGUCAUUACAUCUCAUUGAUGAUUGAUGUAUAUUUAUAUACAAAUAAUGUUUGUGGGAUAAACUUGACUUAUAUUCUAAUUCAAACUCUAUCUCUUACUCUAAUUCAAAUUUAUAAUAGACUUUUGUUCUAAUUCAAAUUUUAUAUCCUAUUUUAAUUCAAACUAACAAUAAAUAAUAGAUAAAUACUAAAGAAAAACAUUCACUUUUCCUAUCAUAUUUUAACGUACUCCCUUAAGAUGGAGCUCUAAUACCAUAUAGAGAAGGAAAUAAACAAGGAAAAUCUAACAUUGCAUUCUCACUUAUGAUUGAUGAAUAUUUAAUACAAAUAAUGUUUGAGGAUAAAUGCCCACUUCUACUCUAAUUUAACUUUUGGGUCCUAUUUUAAUUCAAAUAAAUAAUAAAUAAAUAAAUAUUAAGGAUAAACAUCAACUUUCUCUUAAAAUACGAUCUCAUUUUAAGUGUGUUGGUUCUCACAAAAUUGACAAACCAAAAAGGAGAAAAAUGUGGGGAGUUGGGUUGAUGGAUGCGACGGCUCGGCUACGUUAAGAUGUUUCAAUGAUCAUACUUGGGAAAAAAAGGUGUGGAAUGUUGAAACCAAAUAUUAAGAAGGAAGCAUUUGGGCGGCGAAAGGCCACUAGAGAAUGUUGGGAGGGUGAGAACUGAGAAGGCUCUCGUGGCUCUCGUGGGUUUUGUUUAAUGAAUUAAAGAAUGGGAAUAAGGCAAGGAAACAUCUUCACUUCAUCAUCUUCUUCAGUGGCAAACAUAUAUAUAUAUAUACACUUUCUUUGGUGGCGAACACAUGGGAUCACAGUAUGGUUCUGUUUCUGUUGUACAAAAUCUUUCUCAAGAUUACAUGGGUGUGAACCAAAAUUGGAUCACAUGAUUGAAUGGACAUAGAUAUGUACCACCAGCUAGAUGCAAGCUUUUGGGUUCAACUAUUGACUGGAUCAUGAUUCAUGGCUGCCAUCAACUGAUGGCCGGUUAUGUGAUCAUCCUCUUCAUGGCGAGAAGUCGGUAAAUUCCUGCCAAUUAAGUUGGUAAAUCCAAAAAUUUUAGUCCUUGAAGGUUAUGUUUGGUCUCCAACAACCAAACAAAGGAAAAUGUUUAGACAUUUGAUUACUACCUUCAAAAAAGGUGUAAUAUAUAAAAGUCAAUUGCUUCCUUUCUUGUCUUUUUAACCACCAUUAGUGAAAAUGUUUAGACAUUUGAUUGUAUUAUAUACAAUCACACCCAGUAAGUAUAUAGUCUGUAUUAAAUUAUUACCAUCAGAUCAGGCCACUGCUAUCAGUUCUGGUCACCUGGGCUGGAUAGGGUAUUUUGGCAAGAUGUCAUUUUUGUAGUUUUUUUUUUCUUGGAAUAAUCAAAUUAUAUCUCAUACUUUCAUAAUUUUAUGAUAAAUGAUAGGAACUCUGACGUUGGGUGAGCCAAGCAAGCAUCAUAUUUAUUUAUUUUUUCUAUGUAUUAUAAAGAAAAUUAAACAUAAAAAACAAAUAAUUUAAAAAUAUAUAUAUUUACGAUAUGGGGUCAUGUCAGGACUCAGGAUUGGGAAUUGAAAGCUAGCUGUUAUUUUCCCCAUAAACAGAUAGGACCUAUAAAGCACAAAAGAGAAUCUUCCUUUGGGACCAAUGGCUCUUCAUUAAUAUAAAAUGUCCUAAUGCUCUCCACUAUUCAAACUUUCCCUCUAUAAAUACUGCACUCACCUUCCUCAUUUCGUCGCACUUGCAGAAAAGAAAAACCCACAGAGAAAGAGAUGAGGCCGGCAAACAGCAGCAGCUCCUCUAAUGAAAUAUGGCGGUGGAAUUCUCCAUUCCCAUACCUCUUUGGUGGGUUGGCUCUAAUCUUAGGCCUCAUAGGGGUUGCACUCAUCAUUCUAUCCUGCUCACAUAAGAAGAGGACUCCUUCACCCGAUCAUGACAAAGAUAAACCCCCAAAGACCAUCUGCACAGAACCAGACACAGUGCCGAGGGUCGUUGUCAUUAUGGCCGGAGACGAAAAUCCCACCUACUUGGCAACACCAGUCCCCACUUCAACUACUGCCUCUGAUGAACAAGUCUGAGUGUGUUUUUUUUUUUUUUUUUUUUUGUCCAUCAGCUAGAUUAGAUAGAUUAUUACCAACUUAGGCCUUCUUCCAUUCUUCAUUUUCCCCUUCAUUUACUUGGUUUUUUCUCUUUGUUUUUCACUUUCCGGGAAUAUGUAAAAUGAUGAGUAUGAAUAGAUGUGUUCUUAUGAUCAAUUAAGAUAUCUACAAGAAUGGUUCGAUCUUCCCCAAUCCUACCUGUUCUGGUUUCUAUGCUUUAUGAUUCGGCUGAUACAUGGAGGUGUUUCUUUUAGUAUGAUGAAAAUAUUUUGUGGUUUGCUUGAAAGGAGAAUGGUGAUAAUGCCAGGGAAUAUGCUAUAGACUUUAGUGAAGGGAAUUCUUUCUCUAGAUAGGUCCUGAAGAACCAGUUACGAUAGCUUGUAUUUCAUUACUGGCAUGGAGGUGGAUGGGCAACCAAUUUUGACAAACACUAACAUGAAAGUAUUUCAAAUUAUCGUUUUCCAACAUUACAGACAAUCUUGUUAAAUAUCCAAACCAUCUUCUCUGCGGUAAAGUUUGCAGAACAACCGAAACAAAUCAUGUUUGUUUUAGCGUGGCAUUUUGUUUGGUUACUUUUUGCAGGUUUUCAAUCAUCUGCAAUCCACUUAGUUUAUUUUUUCUUUUCUCCCCAUAAUUGAAGAACAUAGUUAAUUCCUCUUUUGCUUGCUUUGUCAUCUUCCAUUCUCACAUCCAAAUGUCUUAUUACAAAAGUGUAAUAUUUAACCUAUGCUUUUGCCUUUGAACUAAAUAAAUUCCCCUUCCUUCAUUUGUGAAAUUGUACAUUGCUGGACAAGAAAAACAUGAAAACUUAGGAACAACAUAGAGUAUGCAUAUACAUUUUUCCCGUAUUCUCUUUUCUCCAUGUCUUGUACUGCAAUUUCGCAAGGCUGCUGACAUAUAAAAUAGGUACUUAUCAAUAUUGGCUGGUGUGAGUGGGUUUGCGCGGCGGCUUGGAGACCCAAAAGUAAAUGAUGGUACAGUUGAAUGACUUGGAAAAAGGUGAUGACAUUAACUGUGAAUCAUGGCAAACACUUGUGAUAUCCCCACUAUGUUGUACAAGUUAUAGACAUUAUUUCAGGAUAUUCUGUAUUCUAAGGUGUAUUACUGUGGAGACCCACAUCCUUAGGGUCAACAGCUAGCACGUACAUGUAAUAUUUUAUUUAAGAAUAUAAAGUUUAAAACUUCAAGACAAAAAUUUUGGUUUUAUACAUUUAUCAUUGUAAAAGUAAAAGGCAAUAAGUAGCUUUUAGUAUGAGCCUAUAUAUUACAGAGAUAAAUGUAUGAGCCUAUGAGGUAAAUGUACCCUACCAAGGUCUUAAGAUCACGAUAUGGAAUAACAUUUCGCACGGAGAUUUGUAUAUGGGAAGAUAUCAAUAGUUCCAGUGAAACUUCAAUCCAACUCAACCGGGUAGAGUGGAUUUUUCUCCUUAAUAGUGGUCAAUGGUCACUAGGGAACUUAUGAUUAAGCUUACUCACACAUCAUAAUAACAUUCCAUGAGGUCAACAAGCACCAAAUCCUGAAAUAACUAAGCAUGCUGGUUUUUCAAACAAGCUUAACAGCAUUUUAAUGUUUGUUAAAGUUCAAAUAUUUAAUUUAGAUGGUGUCAGUUGGAACCCACACAAUUGGGUAUUAAUAAUAUUUUUAUUAAAAUAAUACUUUAUUGCAUUUUAUUUUCAAUGUAAUAACAAACCUAUUUAUAAUAGUCUCACCUCUCAAAAAAACAUGAUCUCCAAAAGAAUUCCCCUCAAACUCUCAAAAUCGUCUUCCGUAUCUCAAUUACAAUCCGUAUCCUCAAAGAGUCCUAUCUUUUCCAAAAAUUUCAAUGUGCUUGAUCUCUAAAAUCCAUAACCAGCCCAUGUAUGCCCCAAAUCUGAUAUGCAGCCGCACCCACUUAUGGAGACUCCUCUCCAUUAUAAAAAUCUCACCUAAAUCUCAAUCUCCAAACUCAAUCCCCCUAAUCUCCCCAAGAGUAGCGUGAAUAUCCUCCAAGAGUCCUAUGGGCAGCCGUGUAUUCCCAUAUGUGGUCCUCCGAAAUCUCACAUUUCCUUAUUUCUUUCCAUGUGGCUAGUCAUGUACACCUCUCAAAAAAGACAAAUAUAUCUAUAUAUAUAUAUAUAUAUAUAUAUAUAUACUUAAAUUCUCCAACCGUGUCUUCCAUGUUUUCCUAAAUAGUCUUAUCCUUUCCCAACUCUCCAUGGCCGUGUAUCCUCUCAAAAAAUCCCCAAAGACCACUUUUUUUCCUUGUCCUUUCCAUGUGGCCGUGCACAAAAACCAAUCUCAAUCUCCAUGCCUAUGCCAUGCAUAUCUUAUAAGAGUAUCCUUAAAAUCUCAAAAAUCAAUUUUAAUCUCCAUGCGUCAAGGUGACAUGAAACUAACAUAAAGUAUACCUAAAUGGAAUAAACUAAAUAUGCAUCUAGAUGAACUAUCUUAAAGUAUACCUAAACUAAAGUGUAACUAAUUUUUUCUUUUAAAUGGAACUAAGUGAACUAAACCUAAAAUAUAAUUAAGUGAAUUGAGCUAAAAUAUAACUAAAUGAAUUGAGCUAAAAUGUAACUAAGUGAAUUGAACUAAAGUACCAAUAAAUGAACUAAGUUAAAGUGCCACAAAGUGAGCUAAAUAUACGAUGCAACUAAGUGACCUAGACUUAAGGUUGUCACUAGGUGAGCUAAGUUAAAAUGUAACUAAGUGAACUAAACUUAAGCUAAAGUGUAACUAAGUGAGCUAAACCUAAGGUGUCACUAAGUGAGCUAGACUUAAAGUGCAACUAAGUGAGUUGAACUUGAGGUAAAGUGCAACUAAGUGAACUAAACCUAUGAUACAACUAAGUGAGCUAGACCUAAGGUGUUAUCAAAUGAGCUGAAAGUGUAACUAGGUGAGCUAAACCUAAGGUGCAAUUAAUUAAGUUAGGCCUAAGGUACCACUAAAUGAACUAAGUUAAGGUACAACAAAGUGAGUUAAACUUAAGGUGCAACUAAGUAAUCUAAACCUAAAAAUGCAACUAAGUGAAUUAAGCUAUAGAUGCACUAAAAAUUAAAAUUAAUCAUGCAAUAAAAUAAAAAAUCAUUUAUGAACUCAAAAAAUAAGAUCACUUGCAAUUACAAUACAAAAUCAAAUAUGAACUCAAAAUUAAAAUCAUACGUACAUUCCAAAUCAAGAAUCAAAUGUGAACUUAAAAUUUAAAUCACUCAUGCACUAAAAAUUAAUCAUGUAAUAAAAUCAAUCAAUCAUGCACUUCAAACAUCAAAUAAAAAUCACCUAUACACUCAAAAUAUCAAAAAUCGAUCACAAACUAAAAAUAAAAUAACAAAUCAAAGUUCAUUUAACCUAAAAACAUGCAAUAAAAAUCAAAAUGAAACCUAAUGUGCUAAAAACAACAAAGCCUAAACGAAAGAAGGAUUCUCUAAAAAAACAAACUUCUAAACUAAACUUAGAACCACUAAAAAAAUCACACUAAGCAUCCAUAUAAUCCCUCCAAGAUAUAUCUUCCAAAAGGAGUCUAAAAAUAAUGAUAAGGUGAGUAAUAGUGGACCACCAAUGAAGGCACAAUAAAAGCUCAAAAAUAUAUCCUAAGUGUGCAAUGAGGGAUCAUAGGAUAAUAUGUGCUAAGAGGGCAAAAUAGAGGAUCUACAAUUGUCAUUUCCUUUAGAAUAAUUUUUGUCACCAUCUUCAUCUCUAUUAUUGAAGUUGUUGUGUCCUUCUUGACCUCUACCACAACCACAACCUCCUAUAGAUGCUUUACUUUGCAAGACUUACUCCAAAUUAAUAGAGUUGAUUCCAUUCCCUUGUUGUUUACUACCGGAUUCUUUGAUUUAUUUGUUGUUCAUGCGAACACAAUAAAUUCAUCAACCCCUCGACUGUGAGAGUGAAGAUAUAUCAUUUCCUUCUUUAAUAACUAUAGUAGCAUAGUCGAAUUUCGCAUUUAAAGAUUACAUAAUUUUCUUCACUAUUCAUUGAUCAUCAAGCUUUUUUACCAUUAACCACAUUUGGUUUACAAUGGUUUGUGCUUGAUCAAAAUAAUCUGAGAUUAAUUUAGAGUCAUUCAUGCAAAGAGACUUGAGUUCACCUCUUAAUGCUUGCAACUUAAUUCAUUUGAUACAAUUAUCUCCUUUGUAUAAUUUUUGUAGAGUAACACAUACUUUUUUUUUAUAUUAUUAUUUCCACCUUUGAUAUUUUCUCAAAUAUGUUUUCACCUACUAUUUGGAAUAUUGUAUAGAGUGAUUUUUUUUUAAUCUUUUUUUUUAGAAUCUUUCAAUGAAUCUUUCUACCCCUUUGAUAGUGCCUCAAAUUCUUUUGAAUCGACCACUUCAAUGUAACCGUUGUUUACUAAAUCCCAUAAAUCUUAAAAUCUAAAGCAUCUAAAUACACUAAUUAUUGAAAUUUUAACCUUUGAAUUUUAGGAGUUGAGGAUGAAUUAAGUAAUAAUUUGUAGUUAUACUUUCAUCAACAAAAUUGCAACUUUCUUGUGAUUCUGCCCAUUCCCUGAUAUUCUAGCUAUGAUCUAGCAUUUCACCUUCCCUGAUCUUUUGGUUUUCGAAACCAUUUGUUGGAACCCAAUAUUGAUAAUAUUUUUUACUAAAAUAACACUUCAUUGCUUUCUAUUAUUUAAUAUAAUAACAAACUAAUCAUACUUCCACUAGAAUUCUAAUUCCUUGGACCAAAAGUCCUAAUUAAUAUAAAAAAAAUCUAAAUAAAUAACAAUUCCUAAUGUUUCUCAAAUUCCUAAAAUUCUUUUGAUUUGACUUUAAGCGAGAUUAUAAUUUCAACAAACCUUUGAUUUGGUUAUGCCUUGUAGCUCUCAAGUUUUCGGUUCCCGCGAUGACAGUUCUUCCUCCAUAAGGCGCUAGCAAAAUGGAGAUUUGAGGAGGUAAUUGUCCCAUACGCUUUUCGACCCCUUUGUGGUACAUGUUAGCAAUUCCAUCUUCUGAGCCUAGACUAGUUCUUCGUAUUUUCGUUCAAGUGCAGUACCGAGUGGUGGUCGAGCUCGAGUAGUUUUACUAUGGAAUUGGUAGGAAGUGGUCUGUUUGUCUUAUUGAUGAGUCACACUGACUGACUCAAAGGAUAUGUUGUGCUUGCCACUUAACAAUUCAGGCCAAAAAAUUGCAGAAAAAUAGUUGAUGUCAUUGUCUUUUAUAAAUCUAUUCCAUUAGCACUAACAUUUUCUUCCACCCUCAAUUAUUUAUUCAUUUGUAAGAUCUGUCUAACCUUAUAUAUCAUCCACUAAUUGCAAGGAAUUAGAACAGACCAAAUGCAAACAAUCCGGAAAAAUACAGGUCGUAAAAUUUAAUUUUAGAAUCAAUGGGCAGAAUGGAAAAUAGGGGAUCGAUCGUCGAGUGGGUCAUUACAAUAUUUGCCAUCAUUCCAUGAGGACCUUUGACAAAAACACACCCCAUAAUGAUCAUUUCUUUUCUUUUUCUCCUUUGUGUAGACUGUUGACAUGGUUAGUGGGUCAUGACUUCAUUUUAUAGACCAUUCAACUGCACACAAUCAUCAAAUCCAAUAUUACGACUGUAUUGCCCGUUAGAUCAGGCCAUUACUAGUAUUUCAGGCGGUGAUCCACACCUCAAAGGAUUUCAUGAUGCCAUUGUGUUAACAUAUAUACGGGCCAUGUUUCUAGCGUAGAGAUUGAACAAGGGGAGACACCCAAUACCAUAAAUGAGAGUAGUGCUAGGGCUUUGAUCAGUCGAAAAGAAAGAAAGAAAAAGGGAAACAAUUUACAUAACUUACAAUGGAGAAGAGAUUGAUUGAAAAUUUUAUUAUUUUUCCAUGUAAAUGGUUCUAGAAGCGUAAGGCACAAGAGGGAAUCUUCCAUGGCGAGAAAGGCUUUAAGGUUUUUUACAGGUCCAAGUGCACUUGGUAGAAUAUUCAAAUCCUCCUUUAUAAAUAUAUGACAUACCACCAAGCUCAUUACAGUACACCGGCAAAACUCAGAAGAGGGAAAGAGAGAUUAUGACAGUAGAUACCACCUCCUCCAAUGGAUUUUGGCAGUUGAACUCUCCAUUGCCAUACCUGUUUGUUGGGUUGGCUCUACUGCUGGGCCUUAUUGCGGUUGCAUUCGUCGUGCUAUCCUGCUCACACAAACACCCUUCUGCAGACUUGGCAACUGAUGAUGAAAAAGAUAAGCCACCAAAACUGAUGCACACAGACCCAAACACGGCGCCAAGGAUCGUAGUCAUGGCAGGAGACGACAACCCCAAGUACCUGGCAAAGCCCAUGGCGUCGGCUCCCCAUACUGAGCAAGUCUGAGCUAAGGAUCAUCCCUUACAGUAAACAUCAAGUUCUUGUUUUCUCCUUACAGUAUGGGCUUUUGUGUUUGUCAGAAUUCUCAGGAAUAUGUAAAUUUGUUUAGGUUAGAGGGGAUGUUAAUCAUCUUGUAAAUUAGCUAUGCAUCGAUCCAUCUAAUAUAUCGUUCAUUAUUUCUCCUCCUCUUUUAUUAUUUUCUGUUAUGAAUCAGUAGUUCUUUUUCCCCUCAGUGAAGAACAAUAUGAAUUAGUACUCCAAAUCAUUUUAUGUAACUUCAAAAUCUAUCAUCCUAAAACUAAGAAAACUCAGAUCACCCUGUCUUUGGAUCUUGGAAGCAAUUACUUUUACAGGUGCAGAUAGAAUAUAUAGUAGUUGAAUGUUAUGUCAAGCUAAAGAAGAAACACAGGUAUAUAUGAUGUUAUAUAUGGUGCAAACAAUUUCUACAUUAAGCUUAUUUUUAGUAAGUACCCAAAGGACUAUAAUUCUUGAUUACAAGCAACCCCUUCUGCAGUGUGUCAUCAAUAAACGACUUAGUGUAUGAGCAGUGGCAUUGGAAAUAUAAAUUAAUUUUGGAGAUCCUUGUUUUUUGAUCUACCAAAAGGAGCUACUGAAAAUUCAACUCAGAGCUUUUGAAAACUGUUAUAAAGGACUUUACCAGUAUUAAGAUUCGGGGCUUGUGAGUUUAGAGAAAAGGAAUUGACUUUCAACAUGGGUCUUGGUCUUGAGAAAUGUUAGUUUAAUGCAGCACUAGCUGGGAAUGGAUAAGGUUGGCGGACGUGGCAUCUCGAAUAUAAUUUUUGGAGCAGGAAACUUUAGGAGACCAUGGUUUGAAAACGGAGAGAAGAGCAAGUAAAAAGAGGCAUCCCAGAUAGUCUAAAGCUUGCAUUUCAAGUUGGUGAAAUUAGUUUUUAUUUUUAAUUUUUAAUUUUUAAUUAAUUGUUUAUUUAUUGUGUUAGGUGAUUUCCUUAUUGAAGUUGAUUGAAAAUGCCUGGCGACUCUCUCUGCAUGUUUUGCAUAGCCCACUAAAUCAUCCAAUGAGUAAUAAUGGAGAAGACAAAUUGAUUAGAAAUUAGAAUAUGAACCUUAGCUUGGGGAUGAAGUAGUGGACAUGGGAAGUAGAAUAUGAUAAGGGGUUUUCUCCAAUUCUUUUCAUCUUAGGUGCUCGAUUAGGAUAAACAAAGGAUCCAUUAACUUGUUAUUGAAGAAUAAACUUAGGUUGCCUUUAAAUUUAAAUGACACUACAAGAUUUGUAAGCGGUUCAAAAUUUUGAAGCGAGUAGUAAUUUAAUAAUUAAAUUGUCUAUCAUUGAGUAAAAGAAACUAUAAACUUUAAGAUUGUGUUUGAUAGUUGAAAAAUACUUUUAAAAAAA